rnacentral:rRNA from 1 species
UACGUAGGGGGCAAGCGUUGUCCGGAAUCAUUGGGCGUAAAGCGCGUGUAGGUGGCCCAUGUAGGUCCGCUGUGAAAACUCGAGGCUCAACCUCGAGCUGUCGGUGGAAACCCACAUGGCUAGAGUCCGGAAGAGGAGAGUGGAAUUCCUGGUGUAGCGGUGAAAUGCGCAGAUAUCAGGAAGAACACCAAUGGCGAAGGGCAGCUCUCUGGGAGCGGUACUGACACUGAGACGCGAAAGCGUGGGGAGCGAACAGG